rnacentral:rRNA from 1 species
AUUGAACGCUGGCGGCAGGGCUAACACAUGCAAGUCGAGCGGAUGAAGGGAGCUUGCUCUUGGAUUUAGCGGCGGACGGGGGAGUAAUGCCUAGGAAACUGCCGGGUCGGGGGGGAUAACGCCCGGAAAGGGCCGCUAAUAGCGCGUCCGCGCUGUGGCAGAAGGGGGGGAGUCAAUGGAGCUCUCGGCUUUGGAUAAGGCUAGCGCGCGUUGGCCAGUUGGUGGGGUAAAGGGCUACCCAGGGGAAGAACGGCAACGGGGCUGAUGGGAGGAGCAGUCACACUGGAACUGAGACACGGUCCAGACUCCUACGGAAGGCAGCAGUGGGGAAUCUUGGGGAAUGGGCGAAAACCUGACCCAGCCAUGCCGCGUGUGUGACGAAGGUCUUCGGAUUGUAAAGCACGUUAAGUUGGGAGGAAGGGCAUUAAAUUAAUACCUUGCUGUUUUGACGUUACCAACAGAAUAAGCACCGGCUAACUUCGUG